UGGAUAGGUGCGAAGGUAGGUAGAGAAUGCACGAGCAAUCCGGGAGAAAUACCGCUCGCUUUAUAUUUCUUUUGAAUUAGGCGUAUGAAAUUAGACGAAUAAAAUUAAUGUACGACUAGAAUAUAUAAUUAGACAUGGUUGCGUCAGAGGAGAAUAUUUGGGAAGGCGGGGCGUGGAAAUGGAAGGAGGAGGAAGCGGCAAAGGAAGAAAUUGAAGCGCUUUCAGAACGAACAAUUUCCAGUCCUACCAGAUUUCAGAUGAAAACUUUGUAACAUUUCUGGGGGAGACUAUGAUACAUGCAUUUUGAUGCCUAUCGAGUGAUGGCUAGAGAUUGUUCAUUGUAAGAACUCUGCUUGUAAUCAUUCCUUGCUUCUAUUGUCUGCAAUAAUAUGAUUAUAGAUUUUUUCA